rnacentral:misc_RNA from 1 species
GGUUUGAUUAUGGCUCAGAUUGAACGCUGGCGGGAUGCUUUACACAUGCAAGUCGAACGGCAGCACGGACUUCGGUCUGGUGGCGAGUGGCGAACGGGUGAGUAAUGUAUCAGACGUGCCUAGUAGCGGGGGAUAACUACGCGAAAGCGUAGCUAAUACCACAUACGCCCUUCGGGGAAAGCGGGGGACCUUCCGGGCCUCGCACUAUUAGAGCGGCGAUAUCGGAUUAGCUAGUUGGUGGGGUAACGGCUCACCAAGGCGACGAUCCGUAGCUGGUUUGAGAGGA